rnacentral:tRNA from 1 species
UCCCUGGUGGCUCAGAUGGUAAAGAAUCUGCCUGCAGUGCAGGAGACCUAGGUUCAAUCCCUGGGUUGGGAU